rnacentral:rRNA from 1 species
UUGAAGAUGCGGUAACACGCAUUGGAGGACCGAACCGACUACCGUUGAAAAGUUAGCGGAUGACCUGUGGAUCGGAGUGAAAGGCUAAUCAAGCCCGGAGAUAGCUGGUUCUCCUCGAAAUCUAUUUAGGUAGAGCCUCUCAUAUUACCAUCGGGGGUAGAGCACUGUUUGGGCUAGGGGGUCACCUAGACUUACCAACCCCAUGCAAACUCCGAAUACCCAGGAGUACAAUCACGGCAGACAGACAGCGGGUGCUAACGUCCGUUGUCAAGAGGGAAACAACCCAGACCGCCAGCUAAGGUCCCAAAAUAUUGCUAAGUGGGAAACGAUGUGGGA